UUAAGCUCAGCGGGUAUUCCUACCUGAUCCGAGGUCAACGUUCAGAAAGUUGGGUGUUUUACGGCGUGGCCACGUCGGGGUUCCGGUGCGAGGUUGGAUUACUACGCAGAGGUCGCCGCGGACGGGCCGCCACUCAAUUUCGGGGCCGGCGGUGUGCUGCCUGUCCCCAACGCCGACUUCCCCAAGGGGAUGUCGAGGGU
rnacentral:misc_RNA from 1 species